rnacentral:rRNA from 1 species
AUGAUACAGGAUCUGUAUGGAUCGGAGGACACGGGUAGACAGCAGUCAAAGUUUGCAAAAGUGAUAGAAGAGGCAAAGUGCUCACUUUACGAAGGGUCUGAAACUUCAAGAUUUUCAUUUGUCGUGAAGUUACUCCACAUAAAGUCUUUCUAUCGGAUCUCCAAUGUUGCAUUUAAUGCAAUACUCGCGUUGUUGGCCAAGUCAUUCCCGAAGUGCUCGAUUCCCAAAUCUUAUGAUGAAGCAUUGAAAUUUAUCCGUGCAUUGGGGCUAGGCUAUGAUUCAAUCCAUGUGUGCCCAAAUAAUUGUGUCCUUUUCAGUAAACAAUAUGCCAACCAUGACGAAUGUCCGGUAUGUGGUGCAUCGAGAUGGAAGGACUCAGAUGGGAAAAAACAGAUUCCGAUGAAAGUAUUGAGAUAUUUCCCGUUGGUCCCGAGGUUGCAGCGGAUGUAUUGUUCGAAGAAGUCAUCGGAAGAGGUACAAUGGCACAAGCUGAAAAAGAAACCCGUGGAAAAUGAAAUAAGUCAUCCAGUUGACGGUGAAGCAUGGAAAGACUUUGAUAAAAAACAUAGAGAUUUUGCUGAAGAUGCACGGAACCAGAGAAUUGGCGUUGGUACAGAUGGAUUUAAUCUGUUUGGAAAAAUGAGUGCUUCCUACAGCAUGUGGCCUGUAUUUGUGAUGCCUUAUAAGCUGCCACCAUGGGCAUGUAUGGAUCAGUGCAACCUCAUGAUGGCCUUACUUAUACCCGGUCCAAAUCCUCCAGGGAAGGAUUUUGAUUUGUUCUUGGAGCCUCUCGUCGAAGAGUUGCUUGAGCUUUGGAAGGGCGUAAGUACCUAUGAUGCCUUAAGUGAAAAAAAAUUAAUCUACGUGCAGGAGUCCUAUGGUGCAUCCAUGAUUAUCCAGGAUUGA